UCUUCUAACCCUUGGAGGAAAAUCUGCGCUCCAGCAGCUGGGACCGAGGCAUGAGAGCGUUGAAUCAUGAGUGGCACCGUUCGCAAAAAUUGGUGUCUUUGUACAAAGACAGUGCCACAACACAACUCAGUGACCAUCGGGAGAGCAGCCUCAUGAUGGGCGAUGCUCCAUCAGUUUUCUCUUGCGAUCUUUUGCAUAGAUCGGUCCCGCCCCGCAUAUGGCGAUGAGGACUCAAGAGACACGGAAAACGUUUUCUUUCUGGAAAACAUGAAAUAGGCUUUGUAGAUGGACAGGAAGUCAAGGGACAAGCGGUGCGCCGCAGAGAGCGAGGACCCACUCUUCUAUUCCUUUGCGGAGGCACGGACACACGGUGUGGCCCGAAACAGCGGCAGGAGAGUGAGACCCGGGCUCCGACCGCGGUGACGGAGUCUCACUCUGUCACCCAGGCUGGAGUGCAGUGGCACGAUCUCGGCUCACUGGAACCUCCAACUCCCUGGUUCAAGCGAUUCUCCUGCCUCAGCCUCCCGAAUAGCUGGGACUACAGGUGCCCACCACCACACCUGGCUAAUUUUUUGUAUUUUUAGUAGAGACGGGGUUUCACCGUGUUAGCCAGGAUGGUCUCGGUCUCCUGACCUGGUGAUCCGCCCGCCUCGGCCUCCCAAAGUGCUGGGAUUACAGGCAUGAGCCACUGCGCCCGGCCUAAAAAUUUUUUAAAUUGUAUACAUUAUGGUUUUUUUUUUUACCACAAUUUAAAAAAUUAAUUUAUAAUAUACAUGCAGAAAAAUGCACAAAUGACAAGUAUAUAUCUUGAUGAAUUUUCACAAAUGGAAUACAUUUGUGUAACCAGCAGCAGAUCAAGAAACAGAACAUUGCUAGUGCCCCAGAAGCCACUUGUGUGUUCCCUCUCAGUCACUGCUCUUCUCAAGGACAACCACUCUUCUGACUCCUGAUACCAUAAACUAAUUUUGCCUGUUCUUGCUUUUUAUAUAAAGAGAAUCACAGAGUAUGUAC
ensembl:lncRNA TDRKH-AS1 TDRKH antisense RNA 1